rnacentral:misc_RNA from 1 species
GCGGCGUAGGUCUGUUUACCACCACCAAAGGAAUUAACUGUGUACGGAGUUCUUUAAAUGAUUUGCACGUCCAAAUUCCUCCCACCUUAGCAUUGAAGGCAAGCGGAGUGUGACCACCAUAUCAGCCGUGAGAUAAAGAACGAGUAUUCAGAACGCAAGCCAGGAUCCAAAGAGUUACAAGGCAGUGUGGUGAACUCAGCGUUAUACAGCCCUCAUGAUGCCUGGUACGAGCUCAUCAGGUGGUGGCUUCAGUUUUGGCCAACCACAGACGGCACCAGUACAGACCACCACUAAAAGCCUUUUUGGCACAAGCGGUGGAGGAUUUAGUUUUGGAACUGGGACACCACAGGCAGCAUCUCAGCCCCAGCAAGCCUCCCUAGGUUUUGGUACUGGCAGCACUUCAGGAGGGUUUUCUCUUGGCCAGCCAGCAGCCACUAGUGCUCCUGGGAGUGGGUUCAGCUUCAGUGCCACCACUCCUGCAGCACCGGCCACAACCACAAGUAGCUUCAGUUUUGGUCUGCCGACAAGCACGACGGCACCAGCUGUUGGCAGUUUCGCUCUGCCCACUGCCUCUGUAGCUCCGGCCUCUACUGCUCCCACCACUCUCACAGGGUUCUCUUUUGGGACCACACCAGCUGCUCCCACCACCACAACCUCCGCCACCACUGGCUUCUCCUUUGGUCUUGGGGCGCCGGCAGCAACCAGCACGCCAUCACUCUUGUUCUCUGGAGGUACAGCUGCCCCUGCCAUUACUACACCAGCUGCCACCACAGCUGUCGUCCCUGCCAGCUCCUUUGGUCUUGGGGGAGCUCAACCACCCUCAGCCAGCACUGAUGCAAAUAGCUCUGGCUCCAAGACUAGCGGCAAGUCAACUAAAGACCAGCAUCUUUCCCAGGACUUGUUUGCUACCAUUGCUGUCUUUGAGUCACGGAAAAAUGCAGAAAAUGCAGCAUCGGAAGAGAACAUUCGACAGACUGCUGCUCCUUUCCACAAGAUUGGGGAGAAGGCAAAGGAGAUCCAAAAAGUCUUAGCGGAAAUAGCCAGUGAUCACCUGCAGCUUCAGGCAAACACCUCCAACCUGAAGGGGGAAGUGAUGAAGGAAGCAGAGCAUGUGGAGAUGGCCAAGAGGACCAAAGAGACCCCAAUGGGUCUUCAGGGGGACAACAAGGCUCCUGAGGUAUUCUUCAUCAACUUGGUGCGCUCCUUUGAGGCAGAGAUGAUGUACUUUCGAACCAAGAUAGAAGAGGUAUCCCAAUGCAUGCAGGCAGCCAGCAAUCCGUGCGAGACUGAGGAAGACAUUGCCGAGGUGCUACAACGGGAGCACGACACCUUGAAGGAUCUGGCAGCCAAGGUGUACGCCAAGCACAGCCAGCUGGUGGAGCUGAGCCAUCACCUCAACACCAAGGCAAGCCCCAAUGAACAAGAAUUCUUCCGACCUCAGGCCAAGGAGAACACCAAGACUCCGGCCUCGUCUGUGGUGCGGCCUGUGCUGGGGGGUGGAGGGAGUGGCUUGUUAGCAUUCCAGGAGCAACAGCAGCGAGCCAAGGCUGUCACCCUGGGGGCUGCCCCGCCCACACUGCCCCUCGCCCACACCACCACACCCUCCAUGUUCAGUGGCAACUCCAACACCACCUCCAUGUGCUCCCUUGGGCCAUGCUUUGGCAACUCAGGGUUUGGCCUUGGGACGGGUCUUACAGGGACUGGCAACACCACUUUUGGAACGAAGCCUCUGUUUGGGAACACUUCAACCUUUGGCAACACCAGCACUCCUGGAGGGUUGCAACAGAGCAGCACUGCCAGCCCCUUCAGCCUCAGCUCUCCAUUCAACACUAAGCCUUUUGGGUCGUGAGUUCCCGGGUCAGAGGACACAGGACGAGUGUGCGCUAGAGGGAUGAUCGGAAAGAACCGAAGAUGAUGAUGGGGACAGUCGGAGGAAGAGGCGGCUGUAGUGGCAUGUCUCUGUGUUUUUGUUGAGUCCACCUGCCUCUCUCAGCCUCGUCCACACCCACACCACCCUCAUACUGUGCUGCUCAUGGUGGUGGUGGUGGUGGUGGUGGUGAUGAUGGUAAUGGUGAUAGUUAACAGUAAUGAUUCUUUCUUGUUGUCUAGUGUUCUCUGCUGUUCUCUUUCUCU